GCGGCCCUACCAGGAACCGCCGCGCUCCGGCGGGUUCUGGGGCUGCUUGCGUCCCCGCUCCCUCAUUACCCUUGUUUUAUUCCUGCCUCCCCUCGUCGAAAGUCUUCCAUUCUUCGAACUAGAUUAUUUAAGAGAGAGAAAGGAAGAAAGGAAAGCGAGGUCAUCUCGUUGUUGUAUCCGCCAAUCAGGAGGCUGAAUGUCAGUUUUGAACAAAAAGCCGCUCCGCUCCUCUUCUAGAUUUGGAAAACUAGCGAAAUUAAAUGAAACCGCUGCACGCUUCUGACGCGACAUCUGGACACGGCGUGGCGCUGCUGGAGCCGCGGGCCCGGCCCGGCGGCGGACUCGGCAAUAUUAUAGGUGACACUUCAGCAGGAGAUUCGCAGGAUGAAAGGGUACCUCUGUCCUCUAGGAAAAGUGAUAGAGCUUACAAACUCAUAACUCAGAUGGAAUGAAGAGUCAUGCUGUUUACAUCUUUCCAACAGUCCCCCUCCAGAAGAAAACUCUGUGUUGACAAUCAUCUGCCGACUUGUCUUUAUCUUCAUGUGCAUCAUUAAUGAUUUUGGAGGACAUGCUGGUGCGAUGGGAAGAAAAGCAAGACAGCCAUAAUAGGCUUUUGAACCAGAAUGCACUUACUUUUUGCAUCCAUGGAACGAAUAUCUUCUGA